GAUGAACGCUAGCGGCAGGCCUAAUACAUGCAAGUCGGACGGGAUUUGGGAGCUUGCUCCCAAUGAGAGUGGCGCACGGGUGCGUAACACGUAUGCAACCUACCUUAAUCAGGGGGAUAGCCUCUCGAAAGAGAGAUUAACACCGCAUAAUAUAUUUUUAUGGCAUCGUAGAAAUAUCAAAUAUUUAUAGGAUUAAGAUGGGCAUGCGGAACAUUAGCUAGUUGGUAAGGUAACGGCUUACCAAGGCUACGACGUUUAGGGGAUCUGAGAGGAUGACCCCCCACACUGGUACUGAGACACGGACCAGACUCCUACGGGAGGCAGCAGUAAGGAAUAUUGGUCAAUGGGCGCAAGCCUGAACCAGCCAUGCCGCGUGCAGGAAGACGGCCCUAUGGGUUGUAAACUGCUUUUGUACCGGAAUAAACCCUUUUACGUGUAAAAGGCUGAAUGUACGGUAAGAAUAAGGAUCGGCUAACUCCGUGCCAGCCGCCGCCGUAA
rnacentral:rRNA from 1 species